ACGAUCGCAGCGAAAUACGUGAUAAUCAUCAGUGUUGAAAAAAAGACUGGACGGUAACGACGAAUCAAGCCAAGUUUCGGUCAGUACCAUGACAUCGCAAUUAAAAACCGACGAAGCCAGCCAUACUUCCGAUGACUUAGAUCGCAAUCCCCGAGCGUUUUGGUAGUAGAUCGUGCAAGACACCGCUCGGGGAGAUACCGCAAUCGGUCCACUACACCGCUAUGCAGGCGAACCGUGCUGCACAGCAGGCGGGAGGAGUGGCGGAGCCACCUCACGCAUAGAGGCAGUACGAGGUGAAGCAUCAGAAGCAGUUGGAGAUGAGAGUGGUACUUUAUCAAUCGAGGCCGGACGGUGUACAAACUCGCCGAAACGCAAAGCCGACGGCCACGUGGUAGCAGAUAACGCGGCCGCUCGCAGUUGUAUAGGUAAACCGACCUUGAAAGAUACAAAUGACAGGCCAUCAGUGCUGGCUCCGGCUUUCGUCAACCGAUGCACCACUACAUCCACCGUGGUAAGCCGGGUUCUGACGAAGGAUGCCACCACGUUUUCAGUGCAGGCAGUAGACAGAGGCCCGGUACCAAACUGCAGCGAGUGAUUGUUCGUCUGGUCCACGCGUCGAGCAGCUGUUUGUUGGUUUGACCGAAUGACCGCGCAGCCAUCAGUCAAUGUUGUGGAACGCUCGGCUGGUCCGUCCAGUGGUGAUGCCAACGUGUGCGUAGCGUGCGAAGCGUGUUGCGUAGAAAGAGUGGCCAACUGUGGUGAGGAACGAUCAUUGGUGAGAGUGGCCAUUAUACCAUGCGUGGUACCAGCUAGCACACUGGUAGCACCAGGUAGAUUAUCAUGGCAAGGAUUAAUCAUGCUCGCGCAGCCGUGAACGCAAUCAGCAUCGGUGCUGACUAAGGCAGGCUGCGCUACAGCACUGCGAUUUGUUGCACUCCCAGUCAGUAUCGAGUCCUUCCUCUUCUUCCGGGUUGGCGUAUUGGAGGACACAGAUUGUGCGGCAGAACACGCAGGAACAGCCGCGGCAGAGCAAGCAGGAGCAACCGACUGUGAUGAGGUGUGUCCAGAUGCGAGCGUGGAGCCAUUAGUAGUGGUGGUUUCCAACGAAGCGGCGAUGCGUGUAGUAGCAGAAGAGGUGGAGGCAGGAUGUCUCACGCCUGGAUUCGGCAAGUGAGAAAGCCGGAGCUCGAUAUCACUCCACAGCUUACCAAUCUUCUCAUCCAGGAGGCGUGAGAGCUCGCCUGAUGGCGACCAGCCCGGAGAGAAAACAGCUUGGCGGCAAACUUCACAAAACCAUCGGAGGUUCUGCAUUGCAAGCAGUUUCUUAACGCAAGACUUUCCCAGUUUCAGGCAGUCCGGGUGAAACCGUCCAUUGCACGACACUCCUUGCCGCCAACCACUGCAGAUAACUGAGUCACCGACAACCUGUAGAUGCCGACGCGGGUGCCACCAACGAUAACUCGCAACGCACACAAAAACCACGAAGGAAUUGAUGAAAACAGAAGAGCAAAGCAGAGACACGUCUAAUCAGCGAGAGUGAU